rnacentral:lncRNA from 1 species
GGCCAACUAACCUAGGCUAUGCACUAUGGCAGAAACAAGAAAGAGCAUACAUCAAAGUGAGAAAGAACCAAUUUCUGAAAGUUGUUCUCUGUCCUCCGAACAUACGUCAUGGUAUGCCUCCAGUAUGUGAACAAGCAAGAACAAACACACACACACACAUGCACACACACACACACACACGUAAAAAAAAAAUUUUUUUUUUCAAGACAGGGUCUCAUUAUGUAGUAUUGAGUUUCCUGGAACUCACUGUGUAGACAAGGCUGCUCUUGAACUCACAGAGCUCCACCUGCCUCUGCCUCCCGAGUGCUGGGAG